AUUUAAAUAGCUUAUAAUUAGAGUUUAAUAUUGAAGAUAUUAAGGAGAUUAUUUAAAUCUUUAAAUA
rnacentral:tRNA from 1 species